GGAAUAUAAGAACCCGUUUCUUAACUUUUAACUAAAAAAGCUAAGAACCGGUUCUUAAAUAAGAAUUUUAAGAACCGGUUCUUAAUUUUUUUAGUUAAAAGUUAAGAGACGGAUUCUUAUAUUCC
rnacentral:pre_miRNA from 1 species